rnacentral:tRNA from 1 species
CGGGGAGUAGCGCAGCCUGGUAGCGCUCCUGCUUUGGGAGCAGGAGGUCGGGGGUUCAAAUCCCCCCUCCCCGACCA